UAAGGAAUAUUGGACAAUGCCCGCAAGGGUGAUCCAGCCAUGCCGCGUGCAGGAAGAAGGCCCUAUGGGUCGUAAACUGCUUUUACACCGGAGAAAACCCCCUUUCGUGAAAGGGGCUGAUAGUAUGGUGAGAAUAAGCAUCGGCUAACUUCGUGCCAGCAGCCGCGGUAAGACGAAGGAUGCAAGCGUUAUCCGGAUUCAUUGGGUUUAAAGGGAGCGUAGGUGGACUGAUAAGUCAGUGGUGAAAUCUCCGGGCUUAACCCGGAAAUUGCCAUUGAUACUGUUGGUCUUGAGUACAGUUGCUGUGGGCGGAAUAUGACAUGUAGUGGUGAAAUACAUAGAGAUGUCAUAGAACACCGAUUGCGAAGGCAGCUCACAAAGCUGUAACUGACACUGAGGCUCGAAAGUGCGGGGAUCAAACAG
rnacentral:rRNA from 1 species